CAGUCGCCGCGGUAAAACGGAGGGUGCAAGCGUUAAUCGGAAUUACUGGGCGUAAAGCGCACGCAGGCGGUCUGACAAGUCAGAUGUGAAAUCCCCGGGCUUAACCUGGGAACUGCAUUUGAAACUGUCAGGCUGGAGUCUUGUAGAGGGGGGUGGAAUUCCAGGUGUAGCGGUGAAAUGCGUAGAGAUCUGGAGGAAUACCGGUGGCGAAGGCGGCUUACUGGCUCAUUCUAGACGCUGAGGUGCGAAAGCGUGGGGAGCAAACAGGAUUAGAUACCCCGGUAGUCCCUGUCUCUUAUAA
rnacentral:rRNA from 1 species